GGUUAAGCGACUAAGCGUACACGGUGGAUGCCCCGGCAGUCAGAGGCGAUGAAGGACGUGCUAAUCUGCGAUAAGCGUCGGUAAGGUGAUAUGAACCGUUAUAACCGGCGAUUUCCGAAUGGGGAAACCCAGUGUGAUUCGUCACACUAUCAUUACGUGAAUACAUAGCGUAAUGAAGCGAACCGGGGGAACUGAAACAUCUAAGUACCCCGAGGAAAAGAAAUCAACCGAGAUUCCCCCAGUAGCGGCGAGCGAACGGGGAGCAGCCCAGAGUCUGAAUCAGCUUGUGUGUUAGUGGAACGGUCUGGAAAGUCCGACGGUACAGGGUGAUAGUCCCGUACACCAAAAUGCACAGGUUGUGAACUCGAAGAGUAGGGCGGGACACGUGGUAUCCUGUCUGAAUAUGGGGGGACCAUCCUCCAAGGCUAAAUACUCCUGACUGACCGAUAGUGAACCAGUACCGUGAGGGAAAGGCGAAAAGAACCCCGGCGAGGGGAGUGAAAAAGAACCUGAAACCGUGUACGUACAAGCAGUGGGAGCCUCUUUAUGGGGUGACUGCGUACCUUUUGUAUAAUGGGUCAGCGACUUAUAUUCUGUAGCAAGGUUAACCGUAUAGGGGAGCCGAAGGGAAACCGAGUCUUAACUGGGCGUUAAGUUGCAGGGUAUAGACCCGAAACCCGGUGAUCUAGCCAUGGGCAGGUUGAAGGUUGGGUAACACUAACUGGAGGACCGAACCGACUAAUGUUGAAAAAUUAGCGGAUGACUUGUGGCUGGGGGUGAAAGGCCAAUCAAACCGGGAGAUAGCUGGUUCUCCCCGAAAGCUAUUUAGGUAGCGCCUCGUGAACUCAUCUUCGGGGGUAGAGCACUGUUUCGGCUAGGGGGUCAUCCCGACUUACCAACCCGAUGCAAACUGCGAAUACCGAAGAAUGUUAUCACGGGAGACACACGGCGGGUGCUAACGUCCGUCGUGAAGAGGGAAACAACCCAGACCGCCAGCUAAGGUCCCAAAGUCAUGGUUAAGUGGGAAACGAUGUGGGAAGGCACAGACAGCCAGGAUGUUGGCUUAGAAGCAGCCAUCAUUUAAAGAAAGCGUAAUAGCUCACUGGUCGAGUCGGCCUGCGCGGAAGAUGUAACGGGGCUAAACCAUGCACCGAAGCUGCGGCAGCGACACUAUGUGUUGUUGGGUAGGGGAGCGUUCUGUAAGCCGUUGAAGGUGUAUCGUGAGGUAUGCUGGAGGUAUCAGAAGUGCGAAUGCUGACAUAAGUAACGAUAAUGCGGGUGAAAAACCCGCACGCCGGAAGACCAAGGGUUCCUGUCCAACGUUAAUCGGGGCAGGGUGAGUCGACCCCUAAGGCGAGGCCGAAAGGCGUAGUCGAUGGGAAACAGGUUAAUAUUCCUGUACUUGGUGUUACUGCGAAGGGGGACGGAGAAGGCUAUGUUAGCCGGGCGACGGUUGUCCCGGUUUAAGCAUGUAGGCGGAGGUUCCAGGUAAAUCCGGUACCUUUUUAACGCUGAGGUGUGAUGACGAGGCACUACGGUGCUGAAGUAACAAAUGCCCUGCUUCCAGGAAAAGCCUCUAAGCAUCAGGUAACACGAAAUCGUACCCCAAACCGACACAGGUGGUCAGGUAGAGAAUACCAAGGCGCUUGAGAGAACUCGGGUGAAGGAACUAGGCAAAAUGGUGCCGUAACUUCGGGAGAAGGCACGCUGAUAUGUAGGUGAAGUGAUUUACUCAUGGAGCUGAAAUCAGUCGAAGAUACCAGCUGGCUGCAACUGUUUAUUAAAAACACAGCACUGUGCAAACACGAAAGUGGACGUAUACGGUGUGACGCCUGCCCGGUGCCGGAAGGUUAAUUGAUGGGGUUAUCCGUAAGGAGAAGCUCUUGAUCGAAGCCCCGGUAAACGGCGGCCGUAACUAUAACGGUCCUAAGGUAGCGAAAUUCCUUGUCGGGUAAGUUCCGACCUGCACGAAUGGCGUAAUGAUGGCCGGGCUGUCUCCACCCGAGACUCAGUGAAAUUGAACUCGCUGUGAAGAUGCAGUGUACCCGCGGCAAGACGGAAAGACCCCGUGAACCUUUACUAUAGCUUGACACUGAACACUGGUCCUUGAUGUGUAGGAUAGGUGGGAGGCUUUGAAGUGUGGACGCCAGUCUGCAUGGAGCCAUCCUUGAAAUACCACCCUUUAAUGGCUGGUGUUCUAACGUGGACCCGUAAUCCGGGUUGCGGACAGUGUCUGGUGGGUAGUUUGACUGGGGCGGUCUCCUCCUAAAGAGUAACGGAGGAGCACGAAGGUUAGCUAAUCCUGGUCGGACAUCAGGAGGUUAGUGCAAAGGCAUAAGCUAGCUUGACUGCGAGAGUGACGGCUCGAGCAGGUGCGAAAGCAGGUCUUAGUGAUCCGGUGGUUCUGAAUGGAAGGGCCAUCGCUCAACGGAUAAAAGGUACUCCGGGGAUAACAGGCUGAUACCGCCCAAGAGUUCAUAUCGACGGCGGUGUUUGGCACCUCGAUGUCGGCUCAUCACAUCCUGGGGCUGAAGUAGGUCCCAAGGGUAUGGCUGUUCGCCAUUUAAAGUGGUACGCGAGCUGGGUUUAGAACGUCGUGAGACAGUUCGGUCCCUAUCUGCCGUGGGCGCUGGAGAAUUGAGGGGGGCUGCUCCUAGUACGAGAGGACCGGAGUGGACGCAUCACUGGUGUUCGGGUUGUCAUGCCAAUGGCAUUGCCCGGUAGCUAAAUGCGGAAGAGAUAAGUGCUGAAAGCAUCUAAGCACGAAACUUGCCCCGAGAUGAGUUCUCCCUGAGACUUUAAGUCUCCUGAAGGAACGUUGAAGACGACGACGUUGAUAGGUCGGGUGUGUAAGCGUAGCGAUACGUUGAGCUAACCGAUACUAAUGAACCGUGAGGCUUAACCUU
rnacentral:rRNA from 1 species